UUUGGUCGGUUCGGGCACGUCGAACAGACGCCAAACGGACAGCACCUCCCCCAUCCACCCAAGGCUCAACACAAGUACAAAUCAAGUAUAUAGAUGCACAAGCGGAAACAUACAUACAUGGCUUUCACGAGGGCAAGUAGUAGCCAAAAGUGAAAGAUUCUAAACUAAACAGUCAUACAAGUAUAAUGAUUAACUUUUAAUCACAUACAUGCGUUCAACUUUUACAUUUACAUUCUUUCCAUCAUUUCUUUUACAUCACACGAUUUUCCAAAAUAUAAACUCUCUUUACAUCAUUUAUCAUAUCCAUAAUACUAACAUCAUCAAAUACAAAAGAUGACAUAUAGGGUAUGCAACU
rnacentral:lncRNA from 1 species